GAAUAGACAUCCGCCCGGAAAUACAGGGAUCCGUACAGGAACUCUUUCACUCCUUUUACUGCUACAAGAUUUAUAAACUGUAUUACAUUACAUUUAUUGUUAUUAUUAUUAUUAUGUAAAGGAAGAAGCACUUGAAAAAGAAAAGAUAAGAGAGACAGAUAUAGUUCCCAUUAAUAUCUCUUUUUCUGUCUCUCUCUCUAACACUACUGCCACACAUCGCAUCCUUGCAGGGUCUUCUCAGCAUGGCAGCAUUGCGGCAGGUACUGCAUCUCAGUUUUGCAGAUCAUGAGCAAGGAAAGAAACCCAUGAAAAAUUGAGAAGAAAAUAAAUAAAAAGUUGAAAGCUUUAGUUUAAUUUAAUACUAGUACCCUUUAAAGCCUUUGAUUUGAUAUCUUAAAAAAGCAGAGAGAGACAAAGGGUCUCUCUUUUUAAGAGUCUUGACUCUAAUCUCCUUUUAGGCCAUUGCCAAAGUUGCACUAUAAUGCAGUCAUGAAAUCUCUCCUUGCUCACAAAAGCACUUGUCUUUUAAUAAACCUUCAUUAUUGUUAUCAACAGUUACUCCUUGUUAUUCUUCAAGAACUCUACACUGUUCCUGUUGUUGCUGCCUUCGUUUAGGAAAGGCUAUAUAGCUAAUCAAGGCUAAAAAUGGUGGGUAUGAUAGAUCUCAACACUAUUGAAGAAGAUGAAACUACACCGUCUUGUGGGUCUUUAUCUUCUCCAUCAUCAUCCUCUGCUGCUUCUGCUUUGAGUGCUUCUGGUUCUAGUACCUCUUCCGUUUGUUUGGAGCUUUGGCAUGCUUGUGCUGGCCCACUAAUAUCUUUGCCAAAGAGAGGGAGUGUUGUUGUGUAUUUCCCUCAAGGCCACUUGGAACAACUCCCUGAUUUGCCUCUUGCAGUUUAUGAUCUCCCUCCUCAUGUCUUCUGUCGAGUUGUUGAUGUCAAGCUCCAUGCCGAGGCAGCAAGUGAUGAGGUGUAUGCACAGGUCUCCCUGGUUCCUGAGAGUGAGGAAAAUGAGCAGAAGUUGAGGGAGGGGAUAUUUGAGGGGGAUGGUGAGGAGGAGGAUGGUGAAGCCACCGUGAAGAUGACAACACCCCAUAUGUUCUGUAAGACCUUAACUGCUUCUGACACUAGCACUCAUGGAGGCUUUUCAGUCCCUCGUCGAGCUGCUGAGGACUGCUUCCCUCCUCUGGAUUAUACUCAACAAAGGCCUUCACAAGAGCUUGUGGCAAAGGAUCUUCAUGGCUCUGAGUGGAAGUUUCGACAUAUCUACAGGGGUCAGCCACGGAGGCAUUUGCUCACUACUGGAUGGAGUGCGUUUGUCAAUAAGAAAAAACUUGUCUCUGGGGAUGCCGUGCUCUUUCUCAGGGGUGAGGAUGGGGAAUUGAGACUGGGAGUUCGAAGAGCAGCACAAGUUAAAUGUGGCCCUGCAUUUCCAGCUCUAUGGAAUCAUCAGCUGAAUCAGAUCUCUCCUGGGGAUGUAGCUAAUGCUAUUUCUACUAGAAGUGUUUUCCACAUUUACUACAAUCCAAGGGCCAGCUCAUCAGAGUUCAUAAUACCUUUUAAUAAAUUCUUGAAGAGCCUUGAUCAAUCCUUCUCCUCUGGAAUGAGAUUCAAAAUGCGUUUUGAAACAGAAGAUGCAGCAGAGAGAAGAUACACUGGAAUAAUAACUGGAGUCAGUGAGCUAGAUCCUGCUAGAUGGCCUGGUUCAAAAUGGAAAUGCCUGUUGGUAAAGUGGGAUGAUAGGGAGGCUAACAGGCUCAGCAGGGUUUCUCCUUGGGAAGUUGAGCCUUCUGGUUCUGGUUCUUUUUCCAGUUCUAAUAACUUUAUGGCACCUGGUUUGAAGAGGAGCAGGUCUGGAUUGCCUUCAUCAAAGGCAGAAUUUCCAAUUCCUGAUGGGAUCGGAGCACCAGACUUCAGGGAAUCUUCAAGGUCCCAGGAGGUCUUGCAAGGUCAAGAAAUUAUGAGUUUUAAUGCUCUUUAUGAUGGUGUUGAUGGUCAGAAUCAGCACCCAUCGGAAAUGAGGAGUUGUUUUCCUGGUUCCUACAGUUCUGGGAUUGCUGCAUUAGGAAGUGGUAUCAGAGACUCGGUUGCCACUUCAAAUAAUUCCUACAAGGGCAUAGGCUUUAACGAAUCUUAUAGAUUCCAUAAGGUCUUUCAAGGUCAAGAAAUUUUUCCAAGCUCACCAUAUGGAAGAAUCCCAAAUGCUAAUGAGGCUCGUGAAAAUUGUAGUCUUGGAUUCUCUGAUGGUGCCCAAAGUUCAAGCUCAAGAAAUGGAUGGUCUACAAUGAUGCAGGGCUAUAAUACUCAAAUUCGACCUCCUGCACAAGUUUCAUCACCAUCUUCGGUGUUAAUGUUUCAGCAUGCUAGCAAUCCAGUUCCAAAGCCAUCAUCCAAUUUUAAUUUCAAUGAUCAUGUGCAGCAGACAGCUACCACCCGAAGUUGGUUUUGUGGUCCUGAAAUGCAGGGGGGGAAUUUCAAGCUGUCUGCACAUUCUGAGCCCUGUGCAAAAAGAGGUGGCCAAUGGAGCAAUAGUCCUUUUGGUCUGUCCCAUGAGCAUCUUCAACACGGUGUUUCACAACCUAUUGUAGCUCAAUCAGCCUUUAGGGGUAGUCAAGAUUUGUUGUCGUGCAAAAGCAGCUGCAGACUCUUUGGUUUCUCAUUGACUGAGGAUAAAUGCCUUGUUAAUAAGGAGGACAAUAUGACCUUAAUAACAUCUCCAUUGAAUCCUGGAUCCUCCUUUCUGCCUCGAGCCGGAGAGCACUUCCAUUCAAAGCCUCCAGCAAUAAAUAAUGCAGUUGGGAGCAGUUGUACCGAAGCAAUUCUGCAAACCCGUGCUGAAAAUUAUCGAAUAUACUAAUGAGGCUCGCACAAGGGAUGCUUCCCGUUUCGUGGUUUUAUAUGUAUUUGCUUGUGAGAGAAUAUAAUUAUUCUCCUAAGCCGUGAUUCUCAUGCCCAUGAGCUUCGAACAAACCAAGCAGAAAUUGAUGGUAUCAUCAGUUGCGGGACGAGUUGAUUAAAAACUUGAUGAAUAAUGGAAGUGGCCGGACGUUAUUGUUGACAGUCCUAGCGUAUAAAGCAAAAGUUCCAACAGGACCUGCUGGAGCUUGAGGGCAAUCACUUCAACUGUUAAUUUCACUAUUACUAAAUAUUUUCAACAACAUUGCGACCCACCUAGAUUCAUGAGCUUUAUUAUCACGUCCCCCAGUACGCUGCAUUAUUUCGAAGCAUGUGAUCGUUGGUCCAAUUUGCUGACUAACUGUGAUUUCAACGUCUUGGACUUCACCAGUAACAAACCUUGAGAAUCAUUAUGUAACUUUCAAUCGCACCAAUUAUGUACGUUCUUGAACUUGGAGAAGAGGGUUUCAGUUUACCCUAAAAAAAAAAAAAAGAGGAACCUCCCGAUCUCUAGUUGCUUGAUAGAAUAAUAAUAGUUUCCCAAAAAAAUUUCGUGGAACUUGUUGAUGAACGACCUGGCCUAGCCAAACGCGUACAGCCACUUCAUCAAGCAUGCACGUCCGAAGAGGGCGUGGGAGAUGAGGCCACCGGCCAACCUUGAGGUGUUGCUCAUAUUUGGUGGCAGAACCUUACGGUGUUGCCUUCGAAAAUGUUUCCUUUCGACUUAAUGGCAUUGUGGGAUUUUGUUCAUCAUCGAUUUUCGUUGAAUUUGAUGACUGGUGCUAAAGUAAUUUCUGUUCUGGGUUCCAAUUUCGAACUGAUUCAACCAUGGGACCAAAUAAUUGAGCAGAUAGAAACCAUGGAGGUCAAUGAUAGCUAAUGUUUUAUAUUUCUGUGUCA